rnacentral:rRNA from 1 species
UUGAACGCUGGCGGCAGGCCUAACACAUGCAAGUCGAGCGGAUGAAGGGAGCUUGCUCCUGGAUUCAGCGGCGGACAGGUGAGUAAUGCCUAGGAAUCUGCCUGGUAGUGGGGGAUAACGUCCGGAAACGGGCGCUAAUACCGCAUACGUCCUGAGGGAGAAAGUGGGGGAUCUUCGGACCUCACGCUAUCAGAUGAGCCUAGGUCGGAUUAGCUAGUUGGUGGGGUAAAGGCCUACCAAGGCGACGAUCCGUAACUGGUCUGAGAGGAUGAUCAGUCACACUGGAACUGAGACACGGUCCAGACUCCUACGGGAGGCAGCAGUGGGGAAUAUUGGACAAUGGGCGAAAGCCUGAUCCAGCCAUGCCGCGUGUGUGAAGAAGGUCUUCGGAUUGUAAAGCACUUCAAGUUGGGAGGAAGGGCAGUAAGUUAAUACCUUGCUGUUUUGACGUUACCAACAGAAUAAGCACCGGCUAACUUCGUG